UACGAAGGGGGCUAGCGUUGUUCGGAAUUACUGGGCGUAAAGCGCGCGCAGGCGGUCUUCCAAGUCAGUGGUGAAAGCCUGGAGCUCAACUCCAGAACUGCCAUUGAAACUGUUAGACUUGAGUACGAGAGAGGUGAGUGGAAUUCCCAGUGUAGAGGUGAAAUUCGUAGAUAUUGGGAAGAACACCCGUGGCGAAGGCGGCUCUCUGGGACGGUACUGACGCUGAGACGCGAAAGCGUGGGGAGCGAACAGG
rnacentral:rRNA from 1 species